GCUCGGACCUCGGCAGCAGGGAGAAGAGAGAGAAACUGAGGCACGGUUAAAAACGGGGGGGGGCCGGAAAUGUGGGGGGCGGACCCCCCCCCCCCCCCCAAAGCUCUGCCCCCCCUCCCCCACCACGUCCCGCCCCACAAGUCGCCCCCUCCCCACCCCACGUUUCUCCCCCCCCGGCCCCACGUCCCCUCCCGUGGGGCGGCAGCGGCGCCCGCGGUGGGACCCGGCCCCACGGCUCGUGCCCCGACCCACAGAGGCCGUGGGGCAGAUGUGGGGCAGAUGUGGGGCAGGGCAGCCCCGCUGUGGGUCACGAUGUGGGGCAGCCCCACUGUGGGUCAGCCCUGCUGUGGGUCAGCAGAAGAUGAGAUGUGGGUCAGGGCUGCUGUGGGUCAGAUGUGGGUGAGAUGUGGGUCAGCCCCAGCCCCUCUGUGGGUCAGACGUGGGGCAGCCCUGCCGUGGGUCAGAUGUGGGUCAGCUGUGGGUCAGCCCCAGCCCCUCUGUGGGUCAGACGUGGGGCAGCCCUGCCAUGGGGCAGCUGUGGGUCAGCCCCGGGCUCAUUGUGGCUCAGCAGGAGAUCAGAUGUGGGGCAGCCCCACUGUGGGUCAGCCCUGCCCUGGGUCAGCCCCAGGCCCACUGUGGGUCAGCAGAAGAUCAGAUGUGGGUCAGGGCUGCUGUGGGUCAGCCCUGGGCUUGCUGUGGGUCAGAUGUGGGUCAGAUGUGGGGCAGCCCCACUGUGGCUCAGCCCUGCCCUGGGUCAGCCUGCUGUGGGUCAGAUGUGGGUCAGCUGUGGGUCGGCCGUGGGUCAGAUGUGGGGCAGGGCGGGCAGGCUCUGUGGGUCCCUGUGGGUCUCUAUGGGUCAGAUGUGGGUCGCAGUGGGUCAGA
rnacentral:lncRNA from 1 species